rnacentral:rRNA from 1 species
UUAAGCGACUAAGCGUACACGGUGGAUGCCCUGGCAGUCAGAGGCGAUGAAGGACGUGCUAAUCUGCGAUAAGCGUCGGUAAGGUGAUAUGAACCGUUAUAACCGGCGAUUUCCGAAUGGGGAAACCCAGUGUGUUUCGACACACUAUCAUUAACUGAAUCCAUAGGUUAAUGAGGCGAACCGGGGGAACUGAAACAUCUAAGUACCCCGAGGAAAAGAAAUCAACCGAGAUUCCCCCAGUAGCGGCGAGCGAACGGGGAGCAGCCCAGAGCCUGAAUCAGUGUGUGUGUUAGUGGAAGCGUCUGGAAAGGCGCGCGAUACAGGGUGACAGCCCCGUACACAAAAAUGCACAUGCUGUGAGCUCGAUGAGUAGGGCGGGACACGUGGUAUCCUGUCUGAAUAUGGGGGGACCAUCCUCCAAGGCUAAAUACUCCUGACUGACCGAUAGUGAACCAGUACCGUGAGGGAAAGGCGAAAAGAACCCCGGCGAGGGGAGUGAAAAAGAACCUGAAACCGUGUACGUACAAGCAGUGGGAGCACGCUUAGGCGUGUGACUGCGUACCUUUUGUAUAAUGGGUCAGCGACUUAUAUUCUGUAGCAAGGUUAACCGAAUAGGGGAGCCGAAGGGAAACCGAGUCUUAACUGGGCGUUAAGUUGCAGGGUAUAGACCCGAAACCCGGUGAUCUAGCCAUGGGCAGGUUGAAGGUUGGGUAACACUAACUGGAGGACCGAACCGACUAAUGUUGAAAAAUUAGCGGAUGACUUGUGGCUGGGGGUGAAAGGCCAAUCAAACCGGGAGAUAGCUGGUUCUCCCCGAAAGCUAUUUAGGUAGCGCCUCGUGAAUUCAUCUCCGGGGGUAGAGCACUGUUUCGGCAAGGGGGUCAUCCCGACUUACCAACCCGAUGCAAACUGCGAAUACCGGAGAAUGUUAUCACGGGAGACACACGGCGGGUGCUAACGUCCGUCGUGAAGAGGGAAACAACCCAGACCGCCAGCUAAGGUCCCAAAGUCAUGGUUAAGUGGGAAACGAUGUGGGAAGGCCCAGACAGCCAGGAUGUUGGCUUAGAAGCAGCCAUCAUUUAAAGAAAGCGUGUAAUAGCUCACUGGUCGAGUCGGCCUGCGCGGAAGAUGUAACGGGGCUAAACCAUGCACCGAAGCUGCGGCAGCGACGCUUAUGCGUUGUUGGGUAGGGGAGCGUUCUGUAAGCCUGCGAAGGUGUGCUGUGAGGCAUGCUGGAGGUAUCAGAAGUGCGAAUGCUGACAUAAGUAACGAUAAAGCGGGUGAAAAGCCCGCUCGCCGGAAGACCAAGGGUUCCUGUCCAACGUUAAUCGGGGCAGGGUGAGUCGACCCCUAAGGCGAGGCCGAAAGGCGUAGUCGAUGGGAAACAGGUUAAUAUUCCUGUACUUGGUGUUACUGCGAAGGGGGGACGGAGAAGGCUAUGUUGGCCGGGCGACGGUUGUCCCGGUUUAAGCGUGUAGGCUGGUUUUCCAGGCAAAUCCGGAAAAUCAAGGCUGAGGCGUGAUGACGAGGCACUACGGUGCUGAAGCAACAAAUGCCCUGCUUCCAGGAAAAGCCUCUAAGCAUCAGGUAACAUCAAAUCGUACCCCAAACCGACACAGGUGGUCAGGUAGAGAAUACCAAGGCGCUUGAGAGAACUCGGGUGAAGGAACUAGGCAAAAUGGUGCCGUAACUUCGGGAGAAGGCACGCUGAUAUGUAGGUGAGGUCCCUCGCGGAUGGAGCUGAAAUCAGUCGAAGAUACCAGCUGGCUGCAACUGUUUAUUAAAAACACAGCACUGUGCAAACACGAAAGUGGACGUAUACGGUGUGACGCCUGCCCGGUGCCGGAAGGUUAAUUGAUGGGGUUAGCGCAAGCGAAGCUCUUGAUCGAAGCCCCGGUAAACGGCGGCCGUAACUAUAACGGUCCUAAGGUAGCGAAAUUCCUUGUCGGGUAAGUUCCGACCUGCACGAAUGGCGUAAUGAUGGCCAGGCUGUCUCCACCCGAGACUCAGUGAAAUUGAACUCGCUGUGAAGAUGCAGUGUACCCGCGGCAAGACGGAAAGACCCCGUGAACCUUUACUAUAGCUUGACACUGAACAUUGAGCCUUGAUGUGUAGGAUAGGUGGGAGGCUUUGAAGUGUGGACGCCAGUCUGCAUGGAGCCGACCUUGAAAUACCACCCUUUAAUGUUUGAUGUUCUAACGUUGACCCGUAAUCCGGGUUGCGGACAGUGUCUGGUGGGUAGUUUGACUGGGGCGGUCUCCUCCUAAAGAGUAACGGAGGAGCACGAAGGUUGGCUAAUCCUGGUCGGACAUCAGGAGGUUAGUGCAAUGGCAUAAGCCAGCUUGACUGCGAGCGUGACGGCGCGAGCAGGUGCGAAAGCAGGUCAUAGUGAUCCGGUGGUUCUGAAUGGAAGGGCCAUCGCUCAACGGAUAAAAGGUACUCCGGGGAUAACAGGCUGAUACCGCCCAAGAGUUCAUAUCGACGGCGGUGUUUGGCACCUCGAUGUCGGCUCAUCACAUCCUGGGGCUGAAGUAGGUCCCAAGGGUAUGGCUGUUCGCCAUUUAAAGUGGUACGCGAGCUGGGUUUAGAACGUCGUGAGACAGUUCGGUCCCUAUCUGCCGUGGGCGCUGGAGAACUGAGGGGGGCUGCUCCUAGUACGAGAGGACCGGAGUGGACGCAUCACUGGUGUUCGGGUUGUCAUGCCAAUGGCACUGCCCGGUAGCUAAAUGCGGAAGAGAUAAGUGCUGAAAGCAUCUAAGCACGAAACUUGCCCCGAGAUGAGUUCUCCCUGACCCUUUAAGGGUCCUGAAGGAACGUUGAAGACGACGACGUUGAUAGGCCGGGUGUGUAAGCGCAGCGAUGCGUUGAGCUAACCGGUACUAAUGAACCGUGAGGCUUAACCUU